rnacentral:rRNA from 1 species
UACAGAGGUCUCAAGCGUUGUUCGGAUUCAUUGGGCGUAAAGGGUGUGUAGGUGGCGCGCUAAGUCGGGUGUGAAAUUUCGGAGCUUAACUCCGAAACUGCAUUCGAUACUGGCGUGCUUGAGGACUGGAGAGGAGACUGGAAUUCAUGGUGUAGCAGUGAAAUGCGUAGAGAUCAUGAGGAAGACCAGUGGCGAAGGCG